rnacentral:rRNA from 1 species
UACGGGGGGGGCAAGCGUUGUUCGGAAUUACUGGGCGUAAAGGGCUCGUAGGUGGCCAACUAAGUCAGACGUGAAAUCCCUCAGCUUAACUGGGGAACUGCGUCUGAUACUGGAUGGCUUGAGUUUGGGAGAGGGAUGCGGAAUUCCAGGUGUAGCGGUGAAAUGCGUAGAUAUCUGGAGGAACACCUGUGGCGAAAGCGGCGCACUGGACCAUAACUGACGCUGAGACGCGAAAGCGUGGGGAGCAAACAGG